rnacentral:rRNA from 1 species
GACGGAGGGGGCAAGCGUUGUUCGGAUUUAUUGGGCGUAAAGAGCGUGUAGGCGGCUGGGUAGGUCCGUUGUGAAAACUCGAGGCUCAACCUCGAGACGCCGAUGGAAACCCCCCAGCUAGAGUCCGGAAGAGGAGAGUGGAAUUCCUGGUGUAGCGGUGAAAUGCGCAGAUAUCAGGAAGAACACCCGUGGCUAAGGCGGCUCUCUAGUACGGUACUGACGCUGAGACGCGAAAGCGUGGGGAGCGAACAGG